rnacentral:snoRNA from 1 species
AAGACUAUACUUCAGAGAUCUUUUCUAUAGUUCGUUACUAGAGAAGUUUCUUUGACUGCCUAGGGCACCUAAAUUAUAAAUUGAACUG